AGGGGGAGGCAGACCACAAAAAAGGACGUCCCAGUUCGGAUUACAGCCUGNAACCCGGCUGUAUGAAGCUGGAAUCGCUAGUAAUCGCAGAUCAGAAUGCUGCGGUGAAUACGUUCCCGGGUCUUGUACACACCGCCCGUCACACCAUGGGAGCCAGGAAUGCCCGAAGCCAGUGGCCUAACCGCAAGGGAGGAGCUGUCGAAGGCAGGCCCGGUAACUGGGGUGAAGUCGUAACAAGGUAGC
rnacentral:rRNA from 1 species